rnacentral:rRNA from 1 species
CAGCCGCCGCGGUAAUACGAAGGGGGCUAGCGUUGUUCGGAUUUACUGGGCGUAAAGCGCACGUAGGCGGACUUUUAAGUCAGGGGUGAAAUCCCGGGGCUCAACCCCGGAACUGCCUUUGAUACUGGGAGUCUUGAGUUCGAGAGAGGUGAGUGGAAUUGCGAGUGUAGAGGUGAAAUUCGUAGAUAUUCGCAGGAACACCAGUGGCGAAGGCGGCUCGCUGGCUCGAUACUGACGCUGAGGUGCGAAAGCGUGGGGAGCAAACAGGAUUAGAUACCCGGGUAGUCCCUGUCUCUUAUAC